rnacentral:rRNA from 1 species
AUUGAACGCUGGCGGCAGGCCUAACACAUGCAAGUCGAGCGAGCGGCGGACGGGUGAGUAAUGUCUGGGAAACUGCCUGAUGGAGGGGGAUAACUACUGGAAACGGUAGCUAAUACCGCAUACCAUCAGAUGUGCCCAGAUGGGAUUAGAUAGUAGGUGGGGUAACGGCUCACCUAGGCGACGAUCCCUAGCUGGUCUGCGAGGAGGACCAGCCACAGUGGACAGGAGAAACGGUCCAGGCUCCUACGGGAGGCAGCAGUGGGGAAUAUUGCACAAUGGGCGAAAGCCUAAUGCAGCCAUGCCGCGUGUGUGAAGAAGGCCUUCGGGUUGUAAAGCACUUUCAGCGGGGAGGCGUUACCCGCAGAAGAAGCACCGGCUAACUCCGUGCCAGCCGCCGCGGUAAUAC